rnacentral:rRNA from 1 species
GACGAACGCUGGCGGCGUGCUUAACACAUGCAAGUCGAACGGAAAGGCCCUGCUUUUGUGGGGUGCUCGAGUGGCGAACGGGUGAGUAACACGUGAGUAACCUGCCCUUGACUUUGGGAUAACUUCAGGAAACUGGGGCUAAUACCGGAUAUGAGCUCCUGCUGCAUGGUGGGGGUUGGAAAGUUUCGGCGGUUGGGGAUGGACUCGCGGCUUAUCAGCUUGUUGGUGGGGUAGUGGCUUACCAAGGCUUUGACGGGUAGCCGGCCUGAGAGGGUGACCGGCCACAUGGGGACUGAGAGACGGACCAGACUCCAACGGGAGGCAGCAGUGGGGAAUAUUGCACAAUGGGCGGAAGCCUGAUGCAGCAACGCCGCGUGCGGGAUGACGGCCUUCGGGUUGUAAACCGCUUUCGACUGUGACGAAGCGGGAGUGACGGUAAUGGGUAAAGAAGCACCGGCUAACUACGUG